CAGCCGCCGCGGUAAUACCGGCGGCCCGAGUGGCGGUCACUAUUAUUGGGCUUAAAGCGUCCGGAGCCGGGGUGGGAAGGCCUCCGGGAAAUCUGGCCGCUUAACGGUCCGAAUGCCGGAGGAUACUCCCAGCCUAGGGAGCGGGAGAGGCCGAGGGGAUUCCCGGAGGAGGGGGGGAAUCCUAUAAUCCCGGGAGGACCACCUGUGGCGAAGGCGCUCGGCUGGAACGCGUCCGACGGUGAGGGACGAAGGCCAGGGGAGCAAACCGGAUUAGAUGCCCGGGUAGUCCUGGCUGUAAACGAUGCGGACUUUGUGUCGGACAAGCUAUGAGCUUGUCCGGUGCCGGAGGGAAACCGUUAAGUCCGCCGCCUGGGGAGUACGGCCGCAAGGCUGAAACUUAAAGGAAUUGGCGGG
rnacentral:rRNA from 1 species